UGUCUUGUAACAACCCCACAUAUGUGUAAUGUCAUUUCCUCAUAAAAUCAAUGAGAACCAAUGCAAAAGCACAGAUUCAAAAUUCAAAACAAAACUGCAUUCUUCUUCUUCUCCCUCCUCUAGCCCCUUCCCAUUCACCAAACUCUCCAAUCUUGUGGCUGUCUAAUUAGAACUUGAUGGAGAUAACUACCUACUGCGUUAUCAACUUGAAUCAAUUUUUAAGUUGUGAUCUCCUUUGCUAUAUCAGCGGUACAACUGAAGCACCACCUCAAACCACCACUACUACACCUCCAACAUCAAACCCAGCUUACCAUAUCUGGUUCAAGACUGAUCACUUCUGAGAGCUUGCAUCGAUGCAACUCUUUACCCUUCAUUGCUUGUCUCAUAUCCACGGCGUCAAAACCGCAAAGGCAGCGUGGGGUGCCCUUGCCUCUCUUUUUAAGCAACAAUCCAUGGCACGAAAGUCCUACCUUCGUUUUGAAUUGCAAACCAUCACAAAAGGAUCAUCCACCAUCACCAACUACUUACACCGGAUCAACUCCUUGGCCGAUUCUCUGAUAGCAAUUGACGACAAGGUACCCAAUCCAUCAUCUUUUUGGCUACACUCUAAAUGGUCUUGGUUCAGAAUACACCCACUUUGUCAUUACCAUUGAAAACAUGACCCCACCCAUUACGUUUAAUGACCUUCGAACAAAGCUUCUUACCUAUAAACAAAGACUUAGACGUGGCUACAACAACCAAAACAGUCCCUUACCUGAUCCCCAAUCCCAAACAACAUUAUACACCAACAUCAAACCUCCAUUCAAUUACCCACCAACCCAAUACACAAUACAAAAGAACCAUGGUCCAGCCUCAUCUCCUCCACCGUUUCCUAACACACCAAACUUUCGUCCCACUCACCACACCAAUGUCCCAUAUCAACCACCUCUAUUUCCCAAUCCUCCAUCCCCCGAACCCAAACCCGCCCUCAAAUCUCAAGUGCCAAAUUUGUGCAAAACAAGGUCAUGCUGCAAAUAAGUGUUAUUUUUUAUACUCUCAGAGUCACAAUAGUUCCAACUUAACUACUCCCUUUGCUGGACUUCACACACAACCAGCUAAUAACUCUUCAUAUGUUCCAGCAAUACCUUAUGCCCCACAAACUUUGGAAAAUCAAUGGAUUGCCGGUACAGGAGCUACAUCACAUAUAACAUUUGAUCUAUCUUCCUUACAACAAUCUAUUCCUUAUACAGGGCUUCUCUAUCAAGGAUCUUCACACAGGUCUAACAAUAAUGACGAGCCCACUCAAGGAUUACCUCUAUCACUUUCCAGUCCCAGCCACUCCAUCCAAGGCUCUCAUCAGCACAAUGCUACCUGCUACAAUUUGGCACCAACGCUUGGGACACACUUCCCAUGACGUCCUAAGGAAAAUUAGAAGUAACCAAAGCAUUUCUUUUCCUAGCUUUACUGAAUUAAAUAAAUUAUGUAUUGCUUUCCAGCAAGGAAAACACCAUAUGCUUCCAUUUUUUUACUUCAACAACACCUUGUAACUCUCCUUUGGAAGUAGUUCAUUGUGACCUUUGGGGACCCUCGCCUACAGAAUCUGUUUCUAGUUUUAAUUAUUACAUUAUUUUCAUUAAUGAGUUUAGCCGUUUCACAUGGCUAUACCCUUUUGUUUCAAAGUCAGACGCUAUCAACUGUUUCAAGCACUUCAAAGCAAUGGUUGAAAAUCUACUCUCUCACUCA